rnacentral:rRNA from 1 species
AACGAACGCUGGCGGCGUGCUUAACACAUGCAAGUCGAACGGAAAGGCCCUGCUUUUUUGCUGUUCUCGAUUGCCAAACGGGUACGUAACACGUGAGUAACCUGCCCUUGACUUUCGGAUAACUUCACGAAACUGGGCCUAAUACCGUAUAGCAUCUCCUCCUCCAUUGUGAGCAUGGGAACGUUUCGGCUGGUGGGGUUGGACUGGCGGCUUAUCAGCUUGUUGGUUGGCUAGGUGCUUACCAAGGCUUUGACGGGUAGGCUGCCCGAGAGGGUGAACGGCGACCAUGGGCCUGAGAUACGGACCAGUGGGCUAUGGGAGGCAGUAGGGGGGAAUAUUGCACAAUGGGAGGAAGUGUGAUGAAGAGACGCUGGGUGCGGGAUGACGGCCUUCGGGUUGUAAAAAGCUUUAGCCUGUGACGAAGCGUGAGUGACGGUAAUGGAUAAAGAAGCACCGGCUAACUACGUG